AUGGCCUCUACUCUCAAGGUUGCCGUGGUGGUCGCCGCCCUCUGCGCCCUGCUCGUUCUCACCAUGGGGCAGCAGACAGAACCGUGCACGAGCAAAUGCAAGCGUGCAGAUGAUAAUUGCAAGAGCCACUGCCAAAGCAGAGGCCUGCCUGAUUGCCCCCGUAUGUGCGAGAUCACCGGGUGGAGCUGUUGGGUCAACUGCUCCUACGGCACCGGGGGCCUCCCCGAAUAG
rnacentral:rRNA from 1 species